GACGAACGCUGGCGGCGUGCCUAAUACAUGCAAGUAGAACGCACAGUUUAUACCGUAGCUUGCUACACCAUAGACUGUGAGUUGCGAACGGGUGAGUAACGCGUAGGUAACCUGCCUGGUAGCGGGGGAUAACUAUUGGAAACGAUAGCUAAUUCCGCAUAAUAUUAAUUAUUGCAUGAUAAUUAAUUGAAAGGUGCAAUUGCACCACUACCAGAUGGACCUGCGUUGUAUUAGCUAGUAGGUGAGGUAACGGCUCACCUAGGCGACGAUACAUAGCCGACCUGAGAGGGUGAUCGGCCACACUGGGACUGAGACACGGCCCAGACUCCUACGGGAGGCAGCAGUAGGGAAUCUUCGGCAAUGGACGAAAGUCUGACCGAGCAACGCCGCGUGAGUGAAGAAGGUUUUCGGAUCGUAAAGCUCUGUUGUAAGAGAAGAACGGGUGUGAGAGUGGAAAGUUCACACUGUGACGGUAGCUUACCAGAAAGGGACGGCUAACUACGUG
rnacentral:rRNA from 1 species